UUUCUUUAAUCUUUUAUUCUACUUGUUUGCAAUGAUGAUCAUUGAACAAGUAAUUAAUUGAGAAUGAGUAGUACUUAGGACUAAGGAAGGAUAUGGAGUCCAAAACUCUAGAUCUAGUAAUGUUUAAAUGGAUGUAUCGAAAUUGUGUUGGAGUAAACAUGGUAUGAUAUCAUAGAAGGCAAAUACACAGCUUAUGCUCUAGAAAAUGGCUUGCUGUCCAAAAAAAAAAGGGAAAAUGAUGGUGUUCUAAUUAUUCAAAGGUACUACACUUUGAAUAAGAAAAUG
rnacentral:misc_RNA from 1 species